GUGGAUUUGUUAAGGAGUUUGUAAAAACUUUGAGGUUAAGCGUGCUUGGGUGAGAGUAAUACCAAGAUGGGUGACCUCUUGGGAAGUCUCACCAAAUCCAUC
rnacentral:rRNA from 1 species